AUCCAGCUGACGAGUCUAAAUAGGACGAAAUGCGCAUCUUGGAU
rnacentral:hammerhead_ribozyme from 1 species